AUUGAACGCUGGCGGCAGGCCUAACACAUGCAAGUAGAACGAGUGGCGGACGGGUGAGUAAUGUCUGGGAAACUGCCUGAUGGAGGGGGCUAACUACUGGAAACGGUAGCUAAUACCGCAUACCAUCAGAUGUGCCCAGAUGGGAUUAGCGAGUUGGUGGGGUAACGGCUAACCAAGGCGACGAUCCCUAGCUGGUCUGAGAGGAUGACCAGCCACUCUGGAACUGAGACACGGUCCAGACUCCUACGGUAGUCAGCAGUGGGGAAUAUUGCACCAUGGGCUCAAGCCUGUGGCAGCCAUGCCGCGUGUAUGAAGAUGGCCUUCGGGUUGUAAAGUACUUUCAGCGGGGAGGCGUUACCCGCAGAAGAAGCACCGGCUAACUCCGUGCCAGCAGCCGCGGUAAUUC
rnacentral:rRNA from 1 species